rnacentral:rRNA from 1 species
GACGAACGCUGGCGGCGUGCCUAAUACAUGCAAGUCGAGCGGACGAAUCGAAAGCUUGCUUUUGAUUCGUUAGCGGCGGACGGGUGAGUAACACGUGGGCAACCUGCCCUGUAGACGGGGAUAACACCGAGAAAUCGGUGCUAAUACCGGAUAACACGAAAUGUCGCAUGACGUUUCGUUGAAAGACGGCGCAAGCUGUCGCUACAGGAUGAGCCCGCGGCGCAUUAGCUAGUUGGUGAGGUAACGGCUCACCAAGGCGACGAUGCGUAGCCGACCUGAGAGGGGGAUCGGCCACACUGGGACUGAGACACGGCCCAGACUCCUACGGGAGGCAGCAGUAGGGAAUCUUCCGCAAUGGACGAAAGUCUGACGGAGCAACGCCGCGUGAGCGAAGAAGGCCUCCGGGUCGUAAAGCUCUGUUGUUAGGGAAGAACAAGUAACGCAGUAACUGGCGUUACCGUGACGGUACCUAACGAGAAAGCCACGGCUAACUACGUGCCAGCCGCCGCGUAA